rnacentral:rRNA from 1 species
GACGAACGCUGGCGGCGUGCCUAAUACAUGCAAGUUGAGCGCUGAAGGUUGGUACUUGUACCAACUGGAUGAGCAGCGAACGGGUGAGUAACGCGUGGGGAAUCUGCCUUUGAGCGGGGGACAACAUUUGGAAACGAAUGCUAAUACCGCAUAAAAACUUUAAACACAAGUUUUAAGUUUGAAAGAUGCAAUUGCAUCACUCAAAGAUGAUCCCGCGUUGUAUUAGCUAGUUGGUGAGGUAAAGGCUCACCAAGGCGAUGAUACAUAGCCGACCUGAGAGGGGGAUCGGCCACAUUGGGACUGAGACAAGGCCCAAACUCAUACGGGAGGCAGCAGGAGGGAAUCUUCGGCAAUGGACGAAAGUCUGAACGAGCAACGCCGCGUGAGUGAAGAAGGGUUUCGGAUCGUAAAACUCUGUUGGUAGAGAAGAACGUUGGUGAGAGGGGAAAGCGCAUAAAGUGACGGUAACUAACCAGAAAGGGACGGCUAACUACGUG